UUAUUGCAUAGGCCAGAUAUUCUAAUAUAUGUCUUGGAGAACUCUGCCAUCAAAAACAGCAGAAAAUGGCGUAGAGCCCAGCUGAACAUGGUCGGAAAGUACAAUUGCCAUUUAUUGCUGGCAAACAGCAGGAAGAACAACAAAACAAAAUUUAAACCCAUCAUGACUGUGAAUAUAUGGCCUGCUUUCCAAAGCUGUGCUGAUGUUUUGCUCACAUUCAGACUGUUUAUGAGUGUCUGUAACAUAGCACUUCUCUGUGCUGGGUACGCUGAGAAAGGAAAGGAAGAAACAUUGGCCAGACGAUAGAUGCACCAGAUUAGCGGUGUUGGCUAAACACAGGAUGUUCUUGAGUAAUUCAAACCUUUGAACUUGUGUCACAUUGAGACGCAAAGUGGAUUUGGCUAUUGCAUGUCCUGGCUUGCAAGUCUAUUUUCAAAAUAUUUCCUAAUUCUAUUUGCUGUGCCUGACUGUUUCUACAUCUUUCCCUCCUGAGUCUGGUUCAUGGGAGUUGUGAGGAAUCUGUGAAAAAACCUCGUCUGUUCUUUGUGCCACCCUUUUGCCACUACAGCCCAGCCUUCCAGGCCUGCUGCAAAGGUCAGCCCUGACUUGGCAGAGGAAGAGCAAGGGUCAGAAAACCGGGAUGGGGAAGGACUUAUUGAAGAACACGUGCAACCUGAUGAACCAGCUCCUCUGCAAAGUGGUGAGAGAAGGCUGAGGGCAUGGGACCAUGGUACGCUAUGAAUUCUUCCUCCACCGCAGAAGGAUUGGGAUGCAGAAUUCAUCCUGGGAAGGAAAGUCUGGAAAACCGCUUUAGUGUUUUGUGGACCAUUAAAAAAAAAAAAAAAAAGGAAAAAAGAGGGAUAUUUGUCAUUGCAGUGAUAAAACUGUGAGCAGCUUGGAGUUCAGUCAUGCCAGGGAGAGAAUAUGAUACUUUACACGAACACGUCAAGGUUUGGCAGCAAAAAGAAAACCAGGUGAGGAUAAUAUUCCCAGCCUCAAGAGAUCAUAUUCUUUGGAAAAAUGAUAGGAGAAAAAAACAUCAGGGCUAUUAUCUUCUGUACUUAGAGGAAGACUGACGGAGAAAAUGCAGUCACGAUUCGGUGAAAAAAUGGCUACGAAGGCUCUUCUGUCUGCUCUGCCUUCAUUUUUACUUGGGCACCGCUUUGUCAAGAUCUCCCCGAUCUGCCUGACAGCUGACUGUAUUGCAGGACAAAUUUUCUGUUGGGAAGGAAGUGACCUGUCUUACCCUGUACUGCAAGAUUACAAGAGUCAAAACAGCAAGACUGAAUGGACAGAGAUGGGAUCAGGGCGUCAGAAGCCUCAGUCAUGUGAAACUAACCAAGCAGUGGUGUCUUGAAAAGAAAUAUGUAGUGUCUGUAGCUCUUCAGGAAAUCUCAGCAUGGAUAUCCUGUUUUCUCAACCUGUAAUAAUGAACUGCUCUACCUCCUUUUCACUAUGCACAGGAUAUACAUGACUCCACCAUCUCUGUGUAUUUUGGGUUUUGCUCACUUAUUUUUAAAGUAGAAUAUACACAGUCUCUAAAAAGCAUGAGUCAGUGUCCUCUAUUAAUGUGCUCUUUUACCCUUUCUAAACUGGCAGUUUAUGACAACAGAACCACUUUUUCACUGUAGGAGAGUUAAACCUAUUUUGAAAAUUAUAAUAAGUCUUAGCAGACUUAUUCUGCAGCAAAUGUCCCUUUUCAUGUAAUUCUAGUAAUUGAUUUGGCAGACUUUGAAAGAAUAAAAUACAUGUUAAAUUAUUGUCUUAGAGACUACAACAUUUAACUUGAAAGUCAUAUGACAAUUGUCAGGGACUAUGUUUGUAGGCACAGUGAAGGAAGAAUUCCUUUAGGAAAAAUUGAGAUUUUAAUUAUUGACUUCUAGGAAGACAUGAUUAACAAGGGCUUCUCAUCCUCAGUUAUCAAAUCCCAAGUGUCUGCUCCUGUAUCUGCUGUUUCUUAAGUCAAAUCCCCAAACUUCCUUCCAGUUCUCAGCAUAGCCUCAUUAAAUCAACUGUACUUAAACCUUCAGUAGAUUAGAACUUGUUAGGAGAAUGUAGAUGUAACACUUGAUUACCUUUCUAAAGCUGAUGACAAGAAUUGAUUUUUAGAGAUUUGUCACCCCUGGCAUAGCCAACAAUCCACCUCCUCCCUAUCCCCAACUUUCUCAUGCAUGAGGAAUUAACCCAUGCAUUUAGCAGACUUCCAGUAAAUAACCUAUUCUGCUCAUAGGCAAUUGUUGAAGUUUUGCCUCAGAAUAUGAAUGUUCCUAAAAUUCUGCAAUCUACUGAUACCAUAUGUCUUGUAUUAUCUUUAGAAAAGUAUCACCACCAAGAAAAGAGGUUGUACACCAUCACAGCAGGAGGCUUUGUGCUAUGUAAUUAGACCUAAGACAAGACCUAAAUUUUAUUGAGGCCAAGGACAGCUACACCACUGCUGUUUGCACUGGAAUAUUAAUAGACAAAAGACCUAAGUAUACUGUUGAAAAACUGGUUAUAAUGGACUUGAUUUAUUUUGUUAAGUAUGCAUACGUUUUCUGCGAUGCAAAGCACACUAAUUCAUCAAGAAAAAUAAGCAAAAACAAUUAAAUUAUUUAAUAAUUAAUUAAAAAAAUAAUCAUUUUACUGAAUCAUCAUAUACCUCAGAUCAAUUUUGUAAUAGUAUAUAACAGCCUAUUAUAGUCGGCCAUGGCUAUUUAACAGUAUUUGCUUCUGCUUCACCACAAGUUAAAAAUUGAACAAACAGAAUAUAAUGUUGUUACUGUACUUUUUUUUGUUUUUUUUGUGGGCAGUUUUUCUAGCCAUUGUAAUUUGCUCUGAAAGUAAUGCCUCCUAUUUAUUUCCAUGGAAAUUACUACAGAUAUGAGGAACUCAAUAGCAUUAUUUAAUAGAGCAAAUUCUUAGCUACAAAACAUUAUUUUUCAACACAGUCACCAUCAUUAGCUGUGCAUUUUCACUAGCAAUGAACAAGAGCCUGCACUGCCUCACUGUGCUCACAUCCACUGUCUGGUGUCCGUAAACCUUCAGCAUGUGUUGAUGAAUGUCAGUGGGAGCCAUUUUCUUUGCAUGGAGGCAUUCAGUUUCACACCUUUUCUUCAUAUGCAUUUCCAUGUCAGACACUAUUUUGUCAGACUGCCCCUCUGCUGCCAUCUGUCACACGGCUACAAAAUGUAACAGAAUAUUGGUGGGGAGGUUCAGCUUCUACUGCCAUACCACUACCAUCUGCCUCUGACAUCUUUCGCCAACAUAAUAAAAUAGGAGGAGUUACUUUUGGAGCAGCUCUCAUUGAAUAUUAUUUUCAAGUAAGUUAGAUGGAGUAGAGUGCUAUCACUCUUUGACUUAUUGGAUGCAAGAUUAAUUAGCAGGUUAAUUUUAACAUUUGGUUACUAUCAAGGCUUUACAUAGCUUAACUCGUCCUUUCAAAAUGAUUUAUUGAUUACUUAUUCACAAGUUGUUUUCUUCGUUCAUCUUCCAAACAUUUACAUUCACCUCAUACGUAGGCUACAAAUGUUUUAUGUGGAUUAUAUGCAUUCACACAGUAUGUGCCCUUGGCAAUGAAAGUUCACUGCAAAUUUAAUCGUUUCUGAGUCACCUAUCCAAUUUCUUCUCUGAAGUUACAGUUGCAAAAUCUUAUUGGUAUUUUAUUUCAUUGUAAAAGCUUCAGAUAGUUACUUGAAUUAUCUGCUUAAUAAAGGAUGCAUUUAAUGAUCCUUUUUUUUUUCUUUUUUUCUCUCGUAAGCACAUUUCAUACUAACGAAUGCUCAAGUUACAUUUGUACAGGAAUUUUCUUCAUCCACUCUUGAAAUUUAGCUACACUGCUAAGAAGACUGCUGAAAAACAUGCAAAAAGAAGAUUAUUCACAUUUGACCAAAAAAGUCUGGAAACAUCCCCUUCUCUGACGAUAUCAUCAUGGCUCUCUAGUGUCUGUGAAUUGCCACCACAACUCUACUUUACAGAAGAUUUUGUCUAUAAAAUAUUCUGUUCUAAGUUUCAUGGAGCUCAAUUUGUCUCAGUUGGAAGAGUGAGAGUAGGGUUGCUAGAGUCUGCCAGUUUUGAACCUACAGUUCAAGGGAAUCCAGGUAUUUCAAACCCAGCUUGGAGCACUAGAACAGCUCCUCCACUUUUUGAAGUGCCAGCUUAAUGAAUCAUUCUCCACAAAAUAGUCGCUUCUGACAUUUCAGCCAAAGCCCUGCUGCUUUUUCAGAGCCUGUAUGCUUUUAUCUUGCACACUGGUCUGAGCUGCAAAAAAUGUUCCAGUUUAUCACACAGUGUUCUGUACAGUCACUUAGAAAUAUGCUUGUGCUCGCUGAGUGAAUAUUGAUAAGAUAUCUCGAGACUGCGAUAAAAAUGGGGCAAAGAGAAGAUAUAUUUCAAAUUUGAUAAAUAAAG
ensembl:lncRNA